UACGUAGGUGGCAAGCGUUGUCCGGAUUUAUUGGGCGUAAAGCGCGCGCAGGUGGUGGCGGCCGUCCGUCGUGAAAUCUCCCGGCUCACCCGGGAGGGGGCGGGGGAGACACCGCCACUAGAGGCACUCAGAGGCCGGUGGAAUUCCCGGUGUAGUGGUGAAAUGCGUAGAGAUCGGGAGGAACACCUGUGGCGAAGGCGGCCGGCUGGGGGUGACCUGACGCUGAGGCGCGACAGCGUGGGGAGCGAACCGG
rnacentral:rRNA from 1 species